AUACGGAGGGGGCUAGCGUUGUUCGGAAUUACUGGGCGUAAAGCGCACGUAGGCGGAUUAAAAAGUUAGAGGUGAAAUCCCAGGGCUUAACCCUGGAACUGCCUUUAAAACUAGUAGUCUAGAGUUCGAGAGAGGUGAGUGGAAUUCCAAGUGUAGAGGUGAAAUUCGUAGAUAUUUGGAGGAACACCAGUGGCGAAGGCGGCUCACUGGCUCGAUACUGACGCUGAGGUGCGAAAGCUAGGGUAGCGAACGGGAUUAGAAACCCCAGUAGUCC
rnacentral:rRNA from 1 species